GACGUAGGGUCCAAGCGUUGUCCGGAUUUACUGGGCGUAAAGAGCGCGUAGGCGGCUCGGUAAGUGUGAAGCUAAAUCUCUGGGCUCAACCCAGAAACUAUUUCGCAUACUGCCAAGCUGGAGUGAUGAAGAGGUUUGUGGAAUUCCUGGUGUAGCGGUGAAAUUCGUAGAUAUUCGCAAGAACACCAGUGGCGAAGGCGGCUCACUGGCCCGGUACUGACGCUGAGGUGCGAAAGCGUGGGGAGCAAACAGG
rnacentral:rRNA from 1 species